GAUCAAGCAAGGAAGGGCGUACGGAGGAUGCCUUGCCACUCUUGAAUGAAGAAGGACGUAUUAGACUGCGAAAAGUCAUGGGGAGCUGUCAAAAAAGCGCCGAUCCAUGAAUAUCCGAAUGGGGAAACCCGGCUGGAGUCAAGUCCAGUCAUCCAUACUUGUAUGGAGAACAACCCGGUGAACUGAAACAUCUAAGUAGCUGGAGGAAAAGAAAACAAAAGUGAUUUUCCGAGUAGCGGCGAGCGAAAGGGAAAGAGCCCAAACCGUAGAAAUACGGGGUUGUAGGAACGCGAGAUACCAAAGGUAAGUCAACUAGAAUGUGAUGGAAAGCACAGACAGAGAGGGUGAAAUUCCCGUAUAGGUAAGCGAAGCCAAGUAGUUAGCGUCUCCUGAGUACGACGAGACACGAGGAAUCUUGUCGGAAGCAGGCGGGACCAUCCGCCAAGGCUAAAUAAGUAAGAGUGAGCGAUAGAGAAGAAGUACCGUGAGGGAAAGGUGAAAAGAACCGCGCAAGCGGAGUGAAAGAGAACCUGAAACCGUAUGCCUACAAGAAGUCAGAGCCCGUCAAAGGGUGAUGGCGUGCCUUUUGUAGAAUGAACCGGCGAGUUACUUUUGGAUGCGAGGUUAAGCAGGAGAAUGCGAAGCCGAAGCGAAAGCGAGUCUGAAUAGGGCGAAUAGAGUAGACAGAAGUAGACCCGAAACCGGGUGAUCUAGCCAUGGGCAGGUUGAAGCAAAGGUGAAACUUUGUGGAGGACCGAACCGACUACCGUUGAAAAGUUAGCGGAUGACCUGUGGCUAGCGGAGAAAUUCCAAUCGAACUCGGAGAUAGCUGGUUCUCCCCGAAAUAGCUUUAGGGCUAGCGUUAAUGGAAAGCUGGCGGAGGUAGAGCACUGAAUUCAUGAUGGCCCCAUCCCGGGGUACUGAAUGGAAUCAAACUGCGAAUGCCGUCAGCCAAUAGUUGGCAGUCAGAGCGUGGGUGAUAAGGUCCAUGCUCAAGAGGGAAACAGCCCAGACCGCCGGCUAAGGCCCCAAAAUGAUGACUCAGUGGAAAAGGAUGUGGAGAUGCACGGACAACUAGGAGGUUGGCUUAGAAGCAGCCAUCCUUGAAAGAGUGCGUAAUAGCUCACUAGUCGAGUGGCUCUGCGCCGAAAAUGUACCGGGGCUAAGUCAUCUGCCGAAGCCGCGGAUUUAAUUUAGAAUUAAGUGGUAGGGGAGCGUUGCAUAUUCAUCGAAGCAGGAUCGUGAGAGUCUGUGGAGGAUAUGGAAGUGAGAAUGCCGGUGUGAGUAGCGAGAUGCAGGUGGGAAUCCUGCACACCGAAAGCCCAAGGAUUCCAGGGGAAGGUUCGUCCGCCCUGGGUUAGUCGGGACCUAAUGUAUAGCCGAGAGGCGAAGCAGAUGGAAAACAGGCGAAGAUUCCUGUACCCGUGAUAAAGGCGAUGGAGUGACAAAGACGGGAAGUGUGACCCCCUUAAUGGAUUGGGGGCGAAGCGGAGCAGUGCAGAUCCAGGAAAAUCCGGAUCGAGACGCACAGAACGUGAUCGGUAAACGAAAUCUUCGGAAAGUAGUGAAGCACAUGGAGCGGCUUUCAAGAAAAGCUUCUAGCAAUACUUUAUUGCGGCCCGUACCAAAACCGACACAGGUGGGCACGUAGAGAAUACGAAGGUGAGCGAGAGAACUGUUGCCAAGGAACUCGGCAAAAUGGCCCCGUACGUUCGCAAGAAGGGGCGCUCGAGAGAGCCGCAGUGAAAAGGCCCAAGCGACUGUUUAACUAAAACACAGCUCUAUGCAAAGCCGUAAGGCGAAGUAUAUGGGGUGACACCUGCCCGGUGCUGGAAGGUUAAGGGGAUCUGUUCGUCGCAAGACAAAGCAGUGGUCCGAAGCCCCAGUGAACGGCGGCCGUAACUAUAACGGUCCUAAGGUAGCGAAAUUCCUUGUCAGGUAAGUUCUGACCCGCACGAAAGGUGAAACGAUUUGGGCGCUGUCUCGGCAGCAGACUCGGUGAAAUCUUAGUACCUGUGAAAAUGCAGGUUACCCGCAACUAGACGGAAAGACCCCAUGGAGCUUUACUGCAACCUGGUAUUGGGUUUUGGAUGAUGAUGUACAGGAUAGGCGGGAGACGAAGAAUUAGGAACGCCAGUUUCUAAGGAGUCGCCGUUGGGAUACCGCCCUUGAUGAUUUGAAACCCUAACGUAGAGAAGAUCACAGACAGUGCCAGGUGGGCAGUUUGACUGGGGCGGUCGCCUCCCAAAGAGUAACGGAGGCGCCCAAAGGUGCGUUCAGUCUGGAUGGAAACCAGACAAAGAGUGUAAAUGCAUAAGCGCGCUUGACUGCGACACCGACAAGUGGAGCAGGGACGAAAGUCGGGAUUAGUGAUCCGGCGGUGCCGAAUGGAAGGGCCGUCGCUCAACGGAUAAAAGCUACCCUGGGGAUAACAGGCUGAUCCCGCCCAAGAGUUCACAUCGACGGCGGGGUUUGGCACCUCGAUGUCGGCUCAUCGCAUCCUGGAGCUGGAUUCGGUUCCAAGGGUUGGGCUGUCCGCCCAUUAAAGCGGUACGCGAGCUGGGUUCAGAACGUCGUGAGACAGUUCGGUCCCUAUCUGUUGUGGGCGAAGGAGAUCUGAGGGGAGCUGUCCUUAGUACGAGAGGACCGGGAUGGACCUACCACUGGUGCAUCGG
rnacentral:rRNA from 1 species